UACGAAGGGGGCUAGCGUUGCUCGGAAUGACUGGGCGUAAAGGGCGCGUAGGCGGCUUGUAUAGUCGGAUGUGAAAUUCCUGGGCUUAACCUGGGGCUGCAUACGAGGACGUAUGGCUUGAGUGCGGAAGAGGGUCGUGGAAUUCCCAGUGUAGAGGUGAAAUUCGAUAGAUAUUGGGAAGAACACCGGUGGCGAAGGCGGGUCUCUGGACAGUUCCUGACGCUGAGGCACGAAGGUCAGGGGAGCAAACGGG
rnacentral:rRNA from 1 species